rnacentral:rRNA from 1 species
AUGGGUUUUGUUAAACUAAAUGUUGAUUCUUCUUUUGACCAUGAUCUGCUCAGGGGCACCGCAGGUGCUGUACUUAGAGAUGACAAAGAAAAAAUCAUUGUUGGCAGAAAUUGGAAGAUCGAUUGGUGUGCUGAUGUACUAAUAGCAGAAGCGGUGGCUCUUAGGUUUGGUUUAAUUCUUGCACAAAAGGUGGGAUGCAAUCGUCUUAUUAUUAACUCUGAUAAUAUGGAAGUCAUUGACACAAUGAAGGAUGGAGGACAAUCGGCGGGAGUUGUGGCGGCAGUCUUUGAGGAUUGUUACUUCCUGGCUUGUGAUUUUCCGUUGACUAGAUUUGAACAUUGUAAUAGGGUAGCUAAUAAGGUUGCUCAUGAACUUGCUAGGCUAGCGAAAGUUUCUAUAACUAGAGAUUGGUUUGAGGAGCCUAUGGAGAAUAUUGUACCUCUUCUUAUAGAUGAUGUAACCAUUAUUUCCAAUUAA